AGAAUUCUGUUAUAAUAAACUUAUAACAACCUCAAUCAACUAUAGAUUAGGUACCUCUAAUUCAAUCAAAAUCAGAUAAAAAAUUUUAUAUAAAUAGAUUUAAAUCAGAUUUAAUAUCUCACAAAAAAUUUUAAUUAUAUAUUAUAUAAUUAAUUCUAAAAAAUUUAGUUAUGUAUGUAUGUAUUUUAGACCUGCUCUGAUAUCAGUUAAUGGGAAGGGAAACAAUUUCUCUUCGGAAGGCCAAGAUUGCAUCUAAUUUUUUUUUAUUUAUCUACAUAAUUAAGGAUCAAAUAUUUACCUAAAUAAUAGUAGAAUUAGAGAUCAAAUUUUAAAUAAUCUGAUAUAAAUCUUCAUAGAGGCCUAGAUGUGUAGAUCCUCUACUUCGCAUGCACG
rnacentral:lncRNA from 1 species